rnacentral:rRNA from 1 species
CCCUUAGAUGUCCUGGGCCGCACGCGUGCUACACUGACACUUACACCGAGUUUUUCCGGCCCCGAGUGGUGGCUGGUAAUCAGUAAUAGGUGUCGUGAUGGGGAUAGAUCUUUGGAAUUAUUGAUCUUGAACGAGGAAUGCCUAGUAAUCGUAGGUCAUCAGCCUGCGAUGAUUACGUCCCUGCCCUUUGUACACACCGCCCGUCGCUCCUACCGAUUUCGAGUGGUCCGGUGAACCUUUCGGACAGAGAGAGUCUCGUACAAUCUCUGAAAGUCAAGUAAACCACAUCACUUAGAGGAAGGAGAAGUCGUAACA